UCCUCAGUGACAUCAUUUACAGACAUAAGCUACCACUUCUAGCUUUAGGCACUUACUUUGUUCAAAGCUUUCUCAGUAUUGAAGUCAUUUUUUUCUUCUUUAUGGCACUAAUCUCAUCACAGGAUCAUCGAUCUAAGGCUGAUAAGGGUUUAACAGACCAUCUAGUUCCAUCCCCUUUUUUUUACCAAGGCUGACUUUGACCAAGGCUACAACAAUAACAGCCAUCAGAGUCUCAGGCCCUCAAUCCCAGGACAAUGUCUCCACCACUAGAAGAAUGACCUAUGAUGCAGAUGGCAAAAUGAGGAGAGAUGGAGAAUGGAAUCAGAGAAUCUUCAAGUUACAAAUCAUCAAAUAGAGCUUUCAAUGAUCCAUGAUCACAGGAGCCAACAAGAAAUUAUUAUAAGUCCUGAAGGACUCGAGGAACGGGAUGGAUUAACCUAUCCUAUCAAUUGUUCAUGCUCUGUGAAUAUAUCAAGUUUUUUGGAAAAGAGGGAGCUUGUGUUAGCAAAGUCCUGACAAGAAGACAAGUACAUUACUGAUGGAGAAAUAAGUAAAAGACUUGCCAUGGAA